rnacentral:rRNA from 1 species
GACGAACGCUGGCGGCGUGCCUAAUACAUGCAAGUCGUGCGGACCUUGUUGAAAGCUUGCUUUUAAAAGGUUAGCGGCGGACGGGUGAGUAACACGUGGGCAACCUUCCUGUAAGACUGGGAUAACGCCGGGAAACCGGGGCUAAUACCAGAUCGUUUUUUCCUCCGCAUGGAGUAAAAAGGAAAGGCGGCUUCGGCUUCCACUUACAGAUGGGCCCGCGGCGCAUUAGCUAGUUGGCGGGGUAAUGGCCCACCAAGGCAACGAUGCGUAGCCGACCUGAGAGGGUGAUCGGCCACAUUGGGACUGAGACACGGCCCAAACGCCUACGGGAGGCAGCAGUAGGGAAUCUUGCGCAAUGGACGAGAGUCUGACGGAGCAACGCGGCGUGAGUGAAGAGGGCCUUCGGGUCGUAAAACUCUGUUGCCGGGGAAGAACAAGUGCCGUGCGAACAGGGCGGGGCCUUGACGGUACCCGGCCAGAAAGCCACGGCUAACUACGUG